GUCUUUAUCGCUUCUCUAAGAAUGUCAGCUCAUCUGAUGCUGGGACUUACUACUGUGCUGUGGCCACAUGUGGGGAGAUAUUAUUUGGAAAUGGAACUAAACUGGACAUUGAAGCCAACACAAUCAGCAUUUAUUCAAAUGGCAAUAUUAAUAGUUUGCUUGGCCAUUUCUCUCUUUGGAAAUGUUGUCUUGAUUUGCAACCGAAGAGUAUGUAAACCAUUUCAAGAUACUCCAAACAAGACCUCAAACCAAGCAGUACAUGAUAGUACUAAAGCUGAUGAAGAACUAAACUAUGCUGCACUGCAUUUCUCUGAAAGAAAAACAAGGAGAAAGAGGAAGACUGAGUUUGCUGAGGAUAGUGUUUACUCUCAAGUUAAACGCUGAUGCCAAUGACAAUGUUUAGGAUUUCGUGAAAUUUAAAUCGAACCUGACAUCAGACCCUAUAUUUGUGAUUCCUUCGUGUUGUUAUUUUUUUUUGUCUUACUUAAAUAUUACCUGUGAACAGUUAAAUUGUUUCAUCAGUGACAGUAUAUGGCCUUUAAAGACCAGAAAUUUAGAUAUUUUUUUUCCAUUUCUGCUUUGCAUAUGUGAUUUCUGACUGUAAUAGC